AAAUUCCUCUCCAUCUUCUCUCUCUAUAUAUUCGUCCUCUCCUUUCUUUCUCAUCAUCUCCCUCGCCGGCGGUUGUCGCUAAUCUCUGGAUGACUCUCAUUCCCACCGCUGGCGCCUGAUUUCAUCUUCAGUCAGAUUCAGAUUUUAUGAUCUCAUAAUGCGACGGCUUUCUGUGUGUUUGCGCAUGGUUUUGAUUGAUUCCGUGUUACUAUUGUUUGUCUAAAAUUUUGUGUCUCAAUGUCAAUGAUGACAACUCCAAAGGCUUGUUUCUCAAAACAUUCGCAGUAGCCGCCUAAGAGCUUUCGCCUUUGCCAGGCUUGAGAGUUUGUGCUGCUAAUCCUUCCUUGGAUGUCUGAUAUCUCAAUUUCAUUGUGUCGCCCACAUAUACCAAUUGCAGAUUGUUUAUGCUGGUAUUUGAUCCUUGUCAACUUGAUCUGUUUUGUUUAGGAUGGAAUUUUUAGAACUUUUAAUUCAAUUAAAUUAUUUGUUAUGUCUAUGACUAUUAUCCUUGUUACUAUCUUGUUUAUUCUAGGUGAUCAUAUAGUAUUAUUUUUUGCUGAAUUAAUCACUUAGUCACAACCAAGCUUUUAAGAAGCUAAAGGGUCUUGAGGCUUUUUAAGCCUGGAGGUAGAACAAUGUGUUUAAGCCUCAGCUUAAACAAGUCAAUAUCAAAAGAUUAGAAAAAGACGUGCACACACAAGAAAAUUGAAUAAUAAAGAAGACAAACAUUAGAGGAAUGAAAUUAAUUUUUUGUCAUGGUUAAUAGCUUAUAAUUUAGUUCCUUUUUCUCUCUUAUAAAAUUAAGCUCGUUCUCUCAUAUCAUCAAAUAUUUUUCAACAUUAGUGUUAUCACAAAUGGGAACCUUUGAGAAAUAUAAUCAUAUGCAAUUGCUAUAUUUUCCUCCCCCACCAUAGAUAUUGAUAUUUCUUUGUUCACUAACUGAAAUAUUAUUGCCUCUUAAAAAUAAAAUAAUGAUUAUAUAUUAGAUACUAAGAUAAGGAAUAAUUCUCCUAUUCUUUGUUCUCAAACUCUUUUUCCCUUCCACUCAAAAGCUUAAUUGGAAGUUGAUUUAAGUCUUUAUUUUAUAAAAGGUUGAAUCAAGUUAGCCUUGAGCCUCAAGAGAAGACUAACUUGUAGACAGUGUAGGCCCUACUAGCCUUUUAAAAUGCUACUUAUAAUCCUGAACUGUUCCCACUGAUCCCAACUCGGAAGGCUUGUUUCUCAAAUCAUUUGCAGUUUGCAUGUCUGACAUGAAUUGUCUAAGAAUGACAUUCUUCUUUUUUUUUUUCCCUGUUUAUGUUGGGGCCAAAUGUAACUGAUACUCCUUGUAAGUGCCUGCAUUGAUGUUUAUCGAGCUUAUAAAACUGUUAGCAAAGGGUCAAUGAUGCUAAAUCCAAAGGCUAGUUUCUCAAAACAUUCGCAGUAGCCGCCUAAGAGCUUUCGCCUUCGCCAGGCUUGAGAGCUUGUGCUGCUAAUCCUUCCUUGGAUGUCUGAGACUUAAAUUACUCUGUAUGAGAAAUUUUUUGUUAUUUUAUCUCUUAAAGUUGAAUGCUUUCUUAACUUAGUUGGCUAUGUGAACAUAUACCCAUUUUGACAGCUAUUGUGUUCUAGUCUCUAAAGCCAGCUUUUUUAAGUUGAAUGCUCCUCAGAAUUUAUUGGCUGUGUGAACAUAUACCUAAUGUUACAUGCUGAUAGCUAUUGUGUUCUAGUCUGGAAAACCAGCUUAUUAUAUUUGCAUACCUCUUGAUUGGCCUUCAAAAUUCUUAAUGUAAUUCGAAUGUAUCUUUAUGGUAUAUUUUAUUUUGAUUUAGGUGUUACUAUUGUUUGUCUAAAAUUUUGUGUCACAAUGUCAAUGAUGACAACUCCAAAGGCUUGUUUCUCAAAACAUUCGCAGUAGCCGCCUAAGAGCUUUCGCCUUUGCCAGGCUUGAGAGUUUGUGCUGCUAAUCCUUCCUUGGAUGUCUGAGAUCUCAAUUGUGCUCAUUGUGUUGCCCACAUAUACCAAUCGCAGAUUGUUUAUGCUGGUAUUUGAUCCUUGUCAACUUGAUCUGUUUUGUUUAGAAUGGGAUUUUUAGUACUUUCAAUUCGAUUAAAUUAUUUGUUUUGUCUAUGACUACUAUCCUUUUUUUUGGUGCAAAAUGUAACUGGUAUAUCCAGUGUUCCGACCAUUUCUUUAUACUCCUUGGAAAUGCCUGCAUUGAUGUUUAUUGAGCUUAUGAAACUAUUAGAAAUGGGUUGAUGAUGCUAAAUCCAAAGGCUUGUUUCUCAAAACAUUCGCAGUAGCCGCCUGAGAGUUUUCGCCUUCGCCAGGCUUGAGAGCUUGUGCUGCUAAUCCUUCCUUGGAUGUCUGAGACUUAAAUCACUUUUUCAAAUUAGUCUUAUAUUUUGUUUCUAUUGGCAAAACCCAUCCGCAAGUGCAAUUUUUUUUUUUUGUUGUGUUUGUUGCUUGAAGUUGAAUGCCCUCUGAACUUAGUUGUCCAUGGGCACAUAUACCUCAUGUAUUAUUGCUCAUUUAUUCACUAACCUAAAGGUUUGUGUCUCUAUGUCAAUGAUGACCCCAUAGGCUCGUUUCUCAAAACAUGUAGCCACCUAAGAGCUUUUGCCUUCGCCAGGCUUGAGGGUUUGUGCUGCUUAAAUUCUUCCUUGGAUAUCUGAGAUCUCAAUCGCGUUCGUUGAUUGAGUUGUGUAUACCAAAUAAAUUAAACUUUUUGCUGAAUUAAUCAUUUAGGGUUCUUCUGUCGUCUAAUUUUAAUUACCUUUUACAACCCUAACCUUUCUCAAUGAUCUCGACUCCAAAGGCUUAUUCACAGUAGCAUGUUCGAGAUCAUCUUUUAUUUUUCUUUUUUCUGGGGCAAAUAUAAUCGACAGUGUUACAAUCAUAUAUCCUUUGGUCACAUCUCUUUGUAUGCAUUGUGAUCAUUUAGAGGGGCAUUGUCACUCUCAUUUCUCCAUUAGAAAUCAAACGCUAGCCAUUUAAGAGUUUAUUUAAUUCUAACAUUGGCAUCAUAUCGAUAUGGUACUACCUUACACAUUGUUUCAUGUUUGGUUUUUCAAUUUUUCUAUGCUACAAGUCCUAACCUUCAAAUCUUUAAGCGCUCCUGCAUAAGUUGGACAAUUUUGAUUUUGUCUCCAUGGUUCGUUAAUGCUGUAGACCUAUCCAGAACUGAAACUUGUUUCUACCAUAGAUAUUGAAUCUAUGGCACCUUUUUAGUUUUUAUUUUUUGUCUUUGUCGACCUUGGAGUUCCGAUAGUUCGGUUGUGUAUAUUGGGGACAUUUCAAUGGUGAUUAUAAUUUUGACUAUUUAAAAAGAAAAGUCAAAAUCAGGAAUCUUCAAUUAUAGAAUUGUAAUUGGUGAUUAUGAUUUUGAAUCUUAUAACUUGGAUGCUGAUGUGCGGAAAGGAAUUAUUUUACAACCUAAUCGAAGUUUAAGGAUAUUUUUUUGGCUAGAGGGGACUAUUUUGAGUCCAAACAUGUUUCAUCCCCUGGGGUAUUUAUCAGUUAUCUAGACUGGCUAUUGUGAUUGUGAGGCUCUUCUUUUAUUUCAAUGAAGUUUGACGUCAUUGGUUUA